rnacentral:sRNA from 1 species
AGGCUCGGGUUCGAUUCCCGGUACGGG